CCUACGGGGGGCAGCAGUGAGGAAUAUUGGUCAAUGGCCGGAAGGCUGAACCAGCCAAGCCGCGUGAAGGACGAAGGUGCCAAGCAUUGUAAACUUCUUUUGUCAAGGGACAAAAUCAGGCUCGCGUGCCUGAACGAGGGUACCUGAAGAAAAAGCCUCGGCUAACUCCGGGCCAGCAGCCGCGGUAAUACGGAGGAUGCGAGCGUUAUCCGGAUUUAUUGGGUUUAAGGGGUGCGGAGGCGGAAUGUUAAGUCAGCGGUAAAAGCCCGGGGCUCAACCCCGGCGCGCCGUUGAAACUGGCAGUCUUGAGUUGGCGAGAGGUAUGCGGAAUGCGCGGUGUAGCGGUGAAAUGCAUAGAUAUUGCGCAGAACUCCGAUUGCGAAGGCAGCAUACCGGCGGCGAACUGACGCUGAGGCACGAAAGCGUGGGUAUCGAACAGGAUUAGAUACCCCAGUAGUC
rnacentral:rRNA from 1 species